rnacentral:rRNA from 1 species
CCGCGUGCAGGACGAACGCCUUCGGGUUGUAAACUGCUUUUGUACGGAACGAAAAAGCCUUGGUUAAUACCCAGGGUCCAUGACGGUACCGUAAGAAUAAGCACCGGCUAACUACGUGCCAGCAGCCGCGGUAACACGUAGGGUGCAAGCGUUAAUCGGAAUUACUGGGCGUAAAGCGUGCGCAGGCGGUUAUAUAAGACAGAUGUGAAAUCCCCGAGCUUAACUUGGGAACUGCAUUUGUGACUGUAUAGCUAGAGUACGGCAGAGGGGGAUGGAAUUCCGCGUGUAGCAGUGAAAUGCGUAGAUAUGCGGAGGAACACCGAUGGCGAAGGCAAUCCCCUGGGCCUGUACUGACGCUCAUGCACGAAAGCGUGGGGAGCAAACAGGAUUAGAUACCCUGGUAGUCCACGCCCUAAACGAUGUCAACUGGUUGUUGGGUCUUCACUGACUCAGUAACGAAGCUAACGCGUGAAGUUGACCGCCUGGGGAGUACGGNCGCAAGGUUGAAACUCAAAGGAAUUGACGGUGACCCGCACAAGCG